rnacentral:lncRNA from 1 species
GGUCAAAGAACCACUUACGUGAUACUCGUCGCAAUAACGAAAUGAAAUCGCCAACGUGAUGUCAAGUUGAUGCAUUUUUAGAUGAAGAGUACGCGCUAUUAUUGAUGGUCAAAGAACCACUUACGUGACACCCGUCACAAUAACAGAAUGAAAUUGCCAACGUGAUGUUCAAGCUGACACAUUUCAGUUGAAGAACAUCACGCUGUUAUUGAUGGUUAAAGAAUCAUUUACGUGACGCCCGUCACAAUAACAGAAUGAAAUCACCAACGUGGUGUUCAAGCUGACACAUUUCUGUUGAAAGAACAUCACACCGUUAUUGAUGGUCAAAGCACCACUUACGUGACACUCGUCACAAUAACGGAAUGAAAUCGCCAACGUGAUGUUCAAGUUGACAUAUUUCAGAUGAAGAACAUCACACCGUUAUUGAUGGUCAAAGAACCAC